UAUCCAAUAUAUCCCUCAAAUUUCAGCGAUUUUUUCUCAUUUAGGGCCGAUAUUUUGCUUAUAUCACCGAUAUAUUCGUAAUUACCAAUAUAUUGCCGAUAUUUAUCGAUAUUUACUGAUAUUUUCGUCAUACGAUAUAUCUUACCUGUAUAUCAUAUCCACUUUAUCUGAUAUCGCCGAUAUAUCCCGAUAUUUUCUUUCUUGUAGUGCACACACCAGUCGACCCUUUUUUUUUCCAAAUUUUUUCUCUUUUCUUCCACUUCUUUUUCCCCAUAAAAACGCUUUUUCUUCCCUUGGACUACCACCCACUCCCCACUUUCCUUCUUCUUUUUUUUCUUUUUUUUUUC
rnacentral:lncRNA from 1 species